rnacentral:tRNA from 1 species
GUGGGUAUAGCUCAGUUGGUUAGAGCGCCAGAUUGUGGUUCUGGAUGUCGUGGGUUCGAAUCCCAUUACCCACC